UUUAAAUGGCCGCAGUAUACUAACUGUGCAAAGGUAGCAUAAUCAUUAGUCUUUUAAUUGGAGGCUGGUAUGAAUGGUUGGACGAGGCAUUAACUGUUUCAUUUAAAUUUAGGAUAAAAUUUUAUUUUUUAGUCAAAAAGCUAAAAUUUAAUUAAAAGACGAGAAGACCCUAUAAAUCUUUAUAUAUAAAUUAUUUGAAUUUUGUAGAUUUAUUUUAUUACAAUAAUUAAUUAUAUUUUAUUGGGGUGAUAUUAAAAUUUAAUAAACUUUUAAUUUUAAGUAUCAUUAAUUAAUGAAUAAUUGAUCCGUUAUUAACGAUUAAAAAUAUAAGUUACUUUAGGGAUAACAGCGUAAUUUUUUUGGAGAGUUCAUAUCGAUAAAAAAGAUUGCGACCUCGAUGUUGGAUUAAGAUAUAAUUUUAGGUGUAGUCGCUUAAAUUUUGAGUCU
rnacentral:rRNA from 1 species